rnacentral:rRNA from 1 species
AUGAUGAAGAUGAUGAAGAUGAUGAAGAUAAUGAGGACCCACUCGAUGAAGAUGAUGAGGACCCACUUCAUGAAGCCAUCGUAGCUCAAAGAACAAGGCUGAGCGAGGAGGAGGUGUCCAACCUGUGGGACAUAAUUCCGCCACGUGCUGACUUUGUCGGGGUGCCAUUCGUGACCCUCCUGACAAAUACCAUGGUUGAUCGACAUGAUAUG